GAAGAAGUAGUUGCAUUAUGAAGUUUUUUUUUGUUUUCUGGUGUUCUGUUAUGGCAUGAUGAAACUUAAAAUAUUUUGACUUUUUUGAUGUUACUAUGUCUUGAACAAGUGUCUGUAACUUUUUGUGGGUUCAAAAUAUAUGACAAUGUCAUUAUCACUUAUUUGUGGUGUUGUUGAAUUUUGUUUUUCAGUUGCAGUAUGUAUGUUAUUU
rnacentral:misc_RNA from 1 species